rnacentral:misc_RNA from 1 species
GACCACCCCCUCUCCGUCCAAAAAAGCAGACUCUGCUAGCAAUAGUCAGCCAAAACGAACAGUUAUCUCAACACUAGUAGUUAUAUUUUCAUUAGUUCUUAGCUUUUCAUGACGCAAUGCCUGUGUGUGAGGAACGUCUGUCAGAAGCGGAAGUGACGUUAAAACGACGUUUACACGUGAUUACAUGUUUUGGCCCGUGGGACCAAAGACGUAGAAAAUUACUGAUGUGAAAGAAGAUGUUCGUGACAGCAGUAUGAAAUUUCAAAAUGUGAGAAAUUUGCUUUUUGGAUUCGACUGAAUUCGAUGCCUAAGGACGUUUGUAAACGCUUACAGCUGCGCAUGCGUAGCGAACAGGCCCCGGUGCUGGAUUGACACUGAUAUUGUACUUUGUUUUUCAUUUCCGUUGAUAGUAUUUCGUCUUUUUUUAAAAAUACUUCCAUUAUUCAACAUUGAAACGCUGCACAAUUCAAGCUUUUUACAAUGCAAUAAAUUAGGAAAGUAACGCAUUUGGGAAAUGAAAAAAACAAUUUUGUGUUGUAAUAAAGCUUUUAUAUAGAUCAUUCUUUUACAGGUUUAAGAACCUUGAUAUUUACAUUAAUUUUAUUUGUAGCACUGGUUUGGACCAUUGUACUCCAAGAGUGGCAGGUCAAACUGGGGAAUUUGCAUUGCAUGUAAUGUUAGAGCACUUUUGUUUUGCUUCAUUUGUUAUCAUUGAUGAGAGAUGUAUGAAUUUGUUAAAUAAAAUUG